rnacentral:lncRNA from 1 species
GUCAUGGGUCAAAUAUAGGCUUAUUAUGCAGCCAUCCCUUUUUAUAGUAUUUAUGUCUGCGUCUUGGUAGAUAAAUAAAUUAAAUCUCUAUUUCACCUUUAACUUUAGAAGCUUGCAGAAGAGUGCACAAGAAGGCUAAUGACGUCGAUGUCGAGUGGCAGAUCGCAGAAUUUUUGAAGCAUGCACCAAACAAGCCAGGAGGCACAAGAUACAAGGUAAAUAUUGAAUAAUUCACUGUAAUCCAACUGACACGCCUAGAGAGAACCUUUCUAAACAAGUUCUUUUUUUUCAGGACCGUGAAAGUCACAAAGAUUAAUUAAGUUAUGUAUUACAGAAUUUAUAUAUUAUUCUAUGACUAUACGUUCUCUCUAUGGACUAUACUGUAAUGUCAAAUCUAACGUCACACUAUGUAAUUUUUUAAUGAAGUUAUUUGCAUGAUUAAAUUUAGAUAAUUAUUAGG